rnacentral:rRNA from 1 species
GAGGUUAAGCGACUAAGCGUACACGGUGGAUGCCCUGGCAGUCAGAGGCGAUGAAGGACGUGCUAAUCUGCGAUAAGCGCCGGUAAGGUGAUAUGAACCGUUAUAACCGGCGAUUUCCGAAUGGGGAAACCCAGUGUGACUCGUCACACUAUCAUUAACUGAAUCCAUAGGUUAAUGAGGCGAACCGGGGGAACUGAAACAUCUAAGUACCCCGAGGAAAAGAAAUCAACCGAGAUUCCCCCAGUAGCGGCGAGCGAACGGGGAGGAGCCCAGAGCCUGAAUCAGCAUGUGUGUUAGUGGAAGCGUCUGGAAAGGCGCGCGAUACAGGGUGACAGCCCCGUACACAAAAGCGCAUAUGCUGUGAGCUCGAUGAGUAGGGCGGGACACGUGGUAUCCUGUCUGAAUAUGGGGGGACCAUCCUCCAAGGCUAAAUACUCCUGACUGACCGAUAGUGAACCAGUACCGUGAGGGAAAGGCGAAAAGAACCCCGGCGAGGGGAGUGAAAAAGAACCUGAAACCGUGUACGUACAAGCAGUGGGAGCACCCUUUGGGGUGUGACUGCGUACCUUUUGUAUAAUGGGUCAGCGACUUAUAUUCUGUAGCAAGGUUAACCGAAUAGGGGAGCCGGAGGGAAACCGAGUCUUAAUUGGGCGUUAAGUUGCAGGGUAUAGACCCGAAACCCGGUGAUCUAGCCAUGGGCAGGUUGAAGGUUGGGUAACACUAACUGGAGGACCGAACCGACUAAUGUUGAAAAAUUAGCGGAUGACCUGUGGCUGGGGGUGAAAGGCCAAUCAAACCGGGAGAUAGCUGGUUCUCCCCGAAAGCUAUUUAGGUAGCGCCUCGUGAAUUCAUCUCCGGGGGUAGAGCACUGUUUCGGCUAGGGGGCCAUCCCGGCUUACCAACCCGAUGCAAACUGCGAAUACCGGAGAAUGUUAUCACGGGAGACACACGGCGGGUGCUAACGUCCGUCGUGAAGAGGGAAACAACCCAGACCGCCAGCUAAGGUCCCAAAGUCAUGGUUAAGUGGGAAACGAUGUGGGAAGGCCCAGACAGCCAGGAUGUUGGCUUAGAAGCAGCCAUCAUUUAAAGAAAGCGUAAUAGCUCACUGGUCGAGUCGGCCUGCGCGGAAGAUGUAACGGGGCUAAACCAUGCACCGAAGCUGCGGCAGCGACGCUGAUGCGUUGUUGGGUAGGGGAGCGUUCUGUAAGCCUG